UGGGGAAUAUUGCACAAUGGAGGGAACUCUGAUGCAGCGACGCCGCGUGAACGAAGAAGGCUUUCGAGUCGUAAAGUUCUUUUAUAUGGGAAGAUAAUGACGGUACCAUAGAAAAAGCCCCGGCUAACUACGUGCCAGCAGCCGCGGUAAUACGUAGGGGGCUAGCGUUGUACGGAAUCACUGGGCGUAAAGGGUUCGCAGGCGGAAAUGCAAGUCAGGUGUAAAAGGCAGUAGCUUAACUACUGUAAGCAUUUGAAACUGCAUAUCUUGAGAAGAGUAGAGGUAAGUGGAAUUUUUAGUGUAGCGGUGAAAUGCGUAGAUAUUAAAAAGAAUACCGGUGGCGAAGGCGGCUUACUGGGCUCAUUCUGACGCUGAGGAACGAAAGCGUGGGUAGCAAACAGG
rnacentral:rRNA from 1 species